CAGAAUCCAAGCUCAGAAGUCUGAAGUUUAAAUGGCAACACCAAAUGUUGGAGAGGAUGUGAACCAGGACUGCCAGUGAGAGUGCAGAAUGGAGCAACCACUUCGGGAAAAGGCAUGGAAGUCUCUUAUAAAGUUAAACACACCUAUUCUUCGACUCAGCCGUUCUACUCCUGGAAUAGGUCUGCUAAGUAGCAUGGAGUGGUAGCUAAUAGCAUGAACUUUAAACCAGACUUUCAAGGUUUGCACCUGGGCUCUACCACCUUUUAACUUGAGACUUUGGUGGUCUGGAACUGGAUGCAUCGUAUCUCCAUGGUAUCCCUGUAUAUAUGUGUGCAUAUAUAUUUGCAGGUAUGUACAUGUGUAUAUAUAUCACUGGGAAUAAACUUUAUAAAAAACUUAAAAUAUAUGAAGAUCUACCUGAAGGAAAGAGCAAAACUUUACCAAGGUACAUUAAAAAAGAUAAAUUCAUGAAUAACAAUGUGGCUGUAGUUAACUGUACUGUAUUUUACACUUGAAAUUGCUAAGAGGGUAG
ensembl:lncRNA